GUCUCUUGUCUCUUUCUCCCUUUCCCUCUUUUCCUCUUGGUUGUCUGGGAUGACUCCCUCUGGGCUGCCGGACUGCCCAGACUAGGUGCCACAAAGUCCCCUGGAGAGUGCUAGUGAGAGGUGAAGCAGGCUGGGCUUCUGGUUGGGUGGGGACUUGGAGAACUUUUCUGACUAGCUAAAGGAUUGUAAACGCACCAAUCAGCCCUCAGUGCCUAGCUAAAGGUUUGUAAAGGCACCACUCAGCACCCUGUCAAAACGGACCAAUCGGCCCUCUGUAAAAUGGACCAAUCAGCAGGAUGUGGGUGGGGUCAGAUAAGCGAAUAAAAGCAGGCUGCCCCAGCCAGCACCCGCAACCCACUCGGGUCCCCUUCCACACUGUGGAAGCUUUCUUUUUUCGCUCUUUGCAAUAAAUCUUGCUGCUGCUCACUCUUUGGGUCCGCACCGCCUUUAUGAGCUGUAACACUCACCGUGAAGGUCUGCAGCUUCGCUCCUGAAGCCCUGGAGACCACGAACUCACCUGGAAGAACAAACAACUCUGGACGCGCCGCCUUUAUGAGCUAUAACACUCACCGCGAAGGUCUGCAGCUUCACUCCUGAAGUCAGCGAGACCACGAACCCUCCAGAAGGAAGAAACUCCAGACAUGUCUGAACAUCAGAAGGAACAAACUCCGGAUGCACCAUCUUUAAGAACUAACACUCACCGUGAGGGUCCACAGCUUCAUUCUUGAAGUCAGCGAGACCAAGAACCCACCAAUUCUGGACACAAUUGUGUCUAUAAUG
rnacentral:lncRNA from 1 species